rnacentral:rRNA from 1 species
UACGGGGGGAGCAAGUGUUAUUCAUUUAUACUGGGCGUAAAGGGUGCGUGGGCUGUUGACCAAGUCUGGACUGUAAAAUCUAAGCGUAAACUUAGAAAACAGUCCUCAUACUGGUCGGCUAAGAGUAUGUUGGGAGAUUGUUGUAUUUUUAGAGGAAAGUUAAAAUUUGAAUAUACUAGAAGGACGAUCGAAGGCGAAAGCAACUUUCUAUGGCGUCACUGACGCUGAAGCACGAAAGCAUAGGUAUCAAACAGG